UACGGGGGGGGCAAGCGUUGUUCGGAAUUACUGGGCGUAAAGGGCGCGUAGGCGGCUCUUUAAGUCGGGGGUGAAAUCCUGGAGCUCAACUCCAGAACUGCCUUCGAUACUGAAGAGCUCGAGUCCAGGAGAGGUGAGUGGAACUGCGAGUGUAGAGGUGAAAUUCGUAGAUAUUCGCAAGAACACCAGUGGCGAAGGCGGCUCACUGGCCCGGUACUGACGCUGAGGUGCGAAAGCGUGGGGAGCAAACAGG
rnacentral:rRNA from 1 species